GAUGAACGCUGGCGGCGUGCCUAAUACAUGCAAGUCGAGCGAACAGACGAGGAGCUUGCUCCUCUGACGUUAGCGGCGGACGGGUGAGUAACACGUGGAUAACCUACCUAUAAGACUGGGAUAACUUCGGGAAACCGGAGCUAAUACCGGAUAAUAUAUUGAACCGCAUGGUUCAAUAGUGAAAGACGGUUUUGCUGUCACUUAUAGAUGGAUCCGCGCCGCAUUAGCUAGUUGGUAAGGUAACGGCCUACCAAGGCAACGAUGCGUAGCCGACCUGAGAGGGUGAUCGGCCACACUGGAACUGAGACACGAUCCAGACUCCUACGGGAGGCAGCAGUAGGGAAUCUUCCGCAAUGGGCGAAAGCCUGACGGAGCAACGCCGCGUGAGUGAUGAAGGUCUUCGGAUCGUAAAACUCUGUUAUUAGGGAAGAACAAAUGUGUAAGUAACUAUGCACGUCUUGACGGUACCUAAUCAGAAAGCCACGGCUAACUACGUG
rnacentral:rRNA from 1 species